AUGCUUUCACAACUUGACUUCAAAAUAUUUGGUUUGGAGACCAUCAAAGAUCAAUAUGUGCAUGAUGCUGAUUUUAAAGAUGUAUUGCAGAAUUGUAAAGAAGGAAGAACCUGGAACAAGUUUGUCGUUAAUGAUGGAUUUGUGUUCCGUGCUAACAAGCUUUGCAUUCCAGCUAGCUCUCUUCGUCUUUUGUUGUUGCAGGAGGCGCAUGGAGGAGGAUUAAUGGGACACUUUGGCGUGAAGAAGACGGAGGACGUACUUGCUACACAUUUCUUUUGGCCAAAGAUGAGACGGGAUGUUGAGUGUUUUGUUGCUCGCUGCACUACAUGUCAAAAAGCUAAGUCACGACUAAAUCCUCAUGGUUUAUAUAUGCCUUUGCCUGUACCUAGUGUUCCUUGGGAGGAUAUAUCUAUGGACUUUGUUUUAGGUUUACCUCGAACAAAGAAGGGGAGGGAUAGCAUAUUUGUUGUCGUGGAUAGAUUCUCGAAAAUGGCGCACUUUAUACCAUGUCAUAAAAGCGAUGAUGCUGUUAAUGUUGCUGAUUUGUUCUUUCGUGAAAUUAUUCGCUUGCAUGGUGUGCCAAAUACUAUUGUUUCAGAUCGUGAUACUAAAUUUCUUAGCCACUUUUGGAGAUGUUUAUGGGCUAAGUUGGGGACUAAACUGCUUUUUAGUACUACUUGUCACCCCAAACUGAUGGACAAACUGAAGUAG
rnacentral:rRNA from 1 species